rnacentral:rRNA from 1 species
ACAGGGAUUGCCUCAGUAACGGCGAGUGAAGCGGCAACAGCUCAAAUUUGAAAUCUGGUCCCCUCUGGGGGCCCGAGUUGUAAUUUGAAGAGGAUGCUUUUGGCGAGGCGCCUUCCGAGUGCCCUGGAACGGGACGCCACAGAGGGUGAGAGCCCCGUAUGGUAGGACGCCGAGCCUCUGUAAAGCUCCUUCGACGAGUCGAGUAGUUUGGGAAUGCUGCUCAAAAUGGGAGGUAAACCCCUUCUAAAGCUAAAUAUUGGCCAGAGACCGAUAGCGCACAAGUAGAGUGAUCGAAAGAUGAAAAGCACUUUGAAAAGAGAGUUAAACAGCACGUGAAAUUGUUGAAAGGGAAGCGCUUGCGACCAGACUUGCGCCCGUCGGAUCAACCGUCCCUCGUGGGCGGCGCACUCCGGCGGGCUCAGGCCAGCAUCAGUUUUCCCGGGGGGAGAAAGGCGGUGGGAAUGUGGCUCUUCGGAGUGUUAUAGCCCGCCGCGUAAUGCCCUCGGGGGGACUGAGGACCGCGCGUAUGCAAGGAUGCUGGCGUAAUGGUCGUCAGCGACCCGUCUUGAAACACGGACCAAGGAGUCGUCCUAAUAUGCGAGUGUACGGGUGUAAAACCCCUGCGCGUAAUGAAAGUGAACGGAGGUGAGAGCUUCGGCGCAUCAUCGACCGAUCCUGAUGUUCUCGGAUGGAUUUGAGUAAGAGCAUAUUGGGCCGGACCCGAAAGAAGGUGAACUAUGCCUGUAUAGGGUGAAGCCAGAGGAAACUCUGGUGGAGGCUCGCAGCGGUUCUGACGUGCAAAUCGAUCGUCAAAUAUGGGCAUGGGGGCGAAAGACUAAUCGAACCU